rfam:Clostridium sp. CAG:451 genomic scaffold, scf12
CUAUGAUAUGAAUUUAUCAUGGCGGAAGGAG